rnacentral:rRNA from 1 species
AAGACGAGAAGACCCCGUCGAGCUUGAUGAUCUUAUUAAGUUUUAAUUUGUAAAGUUUUGUUGGGGCAACAAGGGAGAAUUAUAACCUCCCGUAUUAGGCAUAGAUCCUCUGGUAGAGAUAAAAGGAAAAAGUUACCGCGGGGAUAACAGCGCAAAACCACCUGAGAGCUCGUAUUGAAGGUGGUACAUGCGACCUCGAUGUUG